UUGAGCCUUAGUUUACCAACCUAUAAAAUGAAAACACCUCGGGGUUGAUGUGAGGAUGUAAAAACAUGUUGUCGGUGGACACCUUCAUGUUGUAAGAAAUGGAAAAUACCAAUAUAUCUUUGUCUAAAACAACAUAGCUGUCUAGAGAAGAUUAUAGAUAGGAUGUCAGGUAUGGCAUGAUCAAGGCGCUGGCUCACUUUCUCUGACUCUCUAAGCAUUGUCUUCUCCAUGGGUCAGCCCUUGUCUAAGGGUGGCAAUGCUUGCUACAGGUCCAGGUGGCACAUGCAUAGGCCACACUGACUUGGGAUGGUUAGCAGUGUUCUGGGCCAGCUGCCAAGUCUGCCCUGGGGUUGUUCCUGAUUGGGCAAUUUAGGUCACAGGCCCAUCUCUGGAGCAAAGAGAUUGUGGCCUGGAUGGGGAGGAGGAAUAGGGGUUGGCCCCAGGCUCAGGAGUUGAGAGGAAGAGUGGAGAGUGGAAUGAACCCGGGCUGUCCCUAAAAAGAAAGGGAGGGACGGAUGUGGACAGGGGCCUCCAGCAAGCACAGUGGAGGGGACAGGAGAGAUUGACAAGCAAAGCCCUCGGGCGGCUCCGGCUGCUUGAGGAUGAGGUAAUCAUCCAGCCUUGGGGGCUGGCUGGCUGGGAGGGGGGUGCAGUAGCUGAAAUUGUGGGGGGUGGAACGGUUCUGGGUGAGGGGGCAGCUGGGGUACCUUGGGGAGGGGCCUGAACCCUGGAAACCACGCCUAGGAGGGCACCCAACCAGAAGCUUCCAAACUCCCCAAAUCUGCGCUAACGGCCCUCUCUGCCAGCAGGAGACCAGGGAUGCAGAGUUCUCCCUGCUCGGCUUCAGGUGGACUUGCUGCCCUGGGAGGGGGCCUGGUGCUUCCAGAAGCCGGUCUGGGUCAGAGACAACGGGGAAGGCCUGGGGCAGGCUGGGGGGGGCGUGCUUGGUCAGGGGGGUGGGGAUGGGGCAGUGGCCUCUCCUGUCCCCUUCCCUUCCAUCCAAGACAAUCGGCUGCCAGCUAGGGUGGGAGACGAUGAAAGGCCGGGUGGGGUUGGUGGAAUCAUAGCUUCCAGGGCCUCUGGUCCCCCUCACCCUGUGCCUUCAUGGAAGGGAGGCCUGAGAGCUGUCCCCGGUCACCGGGGCCCCUGCCCUGACGCCAGGGGUCAGCCUCUCAAGGUUAGGGUCUGUCUCCUUCCCUCCCUCCCUUCAGCUUUGCACGUAAAGGGCACCCAGCUGCAGGACCUGCCUGUGUCCUCCGAGGCGCUGUCGGCCUGCGGGCUUGUGGCGGGGCCUCCGGGUGAGGCUCGAGGAGUGGAGCUGGGCGGGAUCGAUCGCUUCGUUUGGAUGGAAAAGAACCUAAAAUUUCUCAAUAAGGUUUCUAUUGAUUAGACGGUGGAAUGACCAUAUUUGGGGCAUGCUCAUGGGUUAAAUUCACUUGUUUGUUUUUCCUUUUUUGGGGGGCCGCAUUCGAGAGACUUGGAAGGUCCCUGGGCCAGGGAUUGAAUCAGAGCCGCAUGGGCGACCUACGCCACAGCUGAGGUAACACGGGACCCUUAACCCACUGCAGCACAGCGGGAACUCCCUGCUGCACGUCUCUGAGCCACACUGUCUUCCUUGAGGAGGCGCUGCUGAGGGUGACGGAGACCCCCCUACUGGAGGUGCCACUGAGGUGUGGCAGGGAGGGGGCAUCCAUCCGUCUGUCCCCAGGCCUCGGACCCUGGUGCCUGAGAGACACGGAUGCUGCAAGACUCCAUCUCCAGCACCACCACUGCUGCGCUCAGACCCUGGGGCUCUGUCAGGAGUCUGCCCUGCACGGCUUUUAUCAAAACAUCCAAAACUAGGCCAGAGACAAGGCCAGGGAACCUGCAGCCCUCGGGCCACUCCAGGCCGCCUACCAGGUUCCGGCAGAGCUGCCGGGCGGGAAGUGGACCCCGCGGGCACUUUCGAGCCUCUGCACCCCAGCGUCCCUUCUGCUGCCGUGCUGUGGCCUCAGGGACAGUCACAAAGCCGGGCAGCAAAAGAGUUCUCCACAGAGCGCUGCUGGAGUCCGGGAGCCUGGAGUCUGUGAACCUGGAUGAGAAAACAGUCACAUCCAUAUCGGCACCGACUAAAUUCAGCAUCGCCCUGCCUUGUGAAUGUGAGCAGCAAAACCCAGUGAGGUCUGUGGUUUUGCCACCGACGUUAUCAACCACAAACCCUACUGGGUUUCCGAACAUCCUACCUUUAUUGCAGAAAUUUCAGGAUGGCAUUUGGACUCAAAUCACGGUAGUUCUUAAAUCCACCACUAGGUAUUCUUUUAAAUGUGCUAAGAAGAAGUUGGAGUUCCCUGGUGGCCUAGCUGGUUAGGGAUCCUGCAUUAUCACUGCUGUAGCUGGGUUAGAUUCCUGGCCUGGGAGUGUCUGCAGGCUGCUGGCCAAAAAAAAAGAAGAAGAAGGAGAAAAGGAAGAGGAAGGGGAAGAAAAGAAGAAGAGGCAUGUAUAUUAAAAAAUAGUUUGACAAAUUUCAGUGCAUUUGGCUUCCUUUAUAAUCCUACAUAUUUUGCUAUUUUGCAUUGUGCAUUUAAAAACAUGAUCCUGA